rnacentral:rRNA from 1 species
CCAUACCGAACACGGAAGUUAAGCUCUUCAGCGCCGAUGGUAGUCGGGGGUUUCCCCCUGUGAGAGUAGGACAUCGCCAGGC